CACACAGUACCGUGGCCCUGGAAGCCUUCCUUCAGAACCCAUCAUCUAAAAGGGAGAUUUUAAAGAAGCAUAACAACACCACCAAAAAUAAAGAUCCUUAAGGGCUGGAGGGGAGACAGGAGACUUCACUGAAUCUAAGGAAUUUGAGCUUUGAAGUGUUUGGGACAAAGAAGGAAGACCUUUCCUAGCAAGGUAAAUAUCAUGAGUUCUGUCUUAGACAUUAUUCUAUUGUUGUGACAAGAUACCAUGACCUGGAGAGAUGGCUCAGCGGGUUAAGAGCACUGACUGCUCUUCUGAAGGUCAUGAGUUCAAAUCCCAGCAACCACAUGGUGGCUCACAACCACCUGUAAUGAGAUCUGAUGCCCUCUUCUGGUGUGUCUGACAACAGCUACAGUGUACUUUAAAAAAAAAAAAAAAAAAAAAAAAGAUACCAUGACCAUGGCAACUCUGAAAAAGGAAACCAUUUAAUUGGGACCUUGUUUACAGUUCCAGAGACUUAGUCCAUUAUCAUCAUGGCAGGGAGCAUGGUAGAAGGCAUGGCAGACACAGUACUGGAAAAGUAGCUGAGAGCUCUGAAUCCUGAUCUGCAGGCAGCAGAAAGAAAAGGGUUUGGCAUGGACUUUUGAAACCUCCAAGCCCACCAUCAUUGACAUACUUCCUUCAACAAUGCCACACCUAUUAAUCCUUUUAAUCCUUUCAAAUAGUGCUGGUGACAUAGCAUUCAAAUGUAUGCUACAGAAGCCAUUCAGAUUCAAACCACCACAGUGAGGAAGGCUUGGUUAUGGAAAAACAGUGUGUAUGUGGAGGACUGUGAACAGAUAGACCUCUAGAGACUGGGGCCUAAGUGACAACUGGAUUGACCUAGAGUGACUGAAGAACCAUCAUUGAGGAAAGAGAGAUAUCCACUACCCAUCCAACCUUCUUUCUACAACAUCUUUCCAAAGCUACAUCUUUCCAAGCCACAACCAAUAGGCAGACAUAUGCAUAAUCAUACUCACACAGACACCUGCACAUUGUGUUUGCUCUUGUCAGAAACCAGCCUAAGAGAUCGUUGUGGAUUCUAGAGGAUGUGCGGAGGGGCCCCAUAGCAGAUUGGUGAGGCUCUAAUUACAUAACUCUGAGGUGGAAAUUUAGUAAAACUGCAGACUUAGAACAACAUAAAAAUACAUUAAACAACCUCAUCCUCUCAUUAUGCAAAGAAAUUGCUCAUUUGUGGAGUUUAGAUUACAGUAGAGAGCUUAUAAAGCAAAAAUAUGGAGCUUUGUGGCAUCCUAUAAGGGCUGGCAUGUUUUCCACAUAGAAAGUACACCUGCCUUAUGUCACCUCACUGAGGAACAUGGUGAGUCCUCCAGCUAAGAAGGUAUGCCCCGCAUUUCCACUGCACCUGCCUCCAGGCAGGCUGAGGAAGGGUUUGCAUAAAGAAGCCUCUUGGGAAAACUACUAUGUACAGCCCUUCUGAGACCAUAGGGAAAGAAUGCACAAAGGACCACUGGCCAACAGGGACAGUUCAAAUCAUAUUUGUGGCCACUAGACUAGGGAAAGGAAUGUAGCAUCUAUGUCCUGUGUUUAUGAAGAAACAGGGCCAAGGGUGUGAGACUCAAAGAUUUCCAUGGGACCAGGAUCUGUACAGGAAAACAAACAACAACAAUAAACCCACUUAGCUUUCACCUGUCUUAACUUCCUUAUUAUCCAUUCUUUUUCUUUACAUUAAAAUAGGCUUGAGGAUGACUAAGUCAUAAAAAAACACUUCUUACCACUAUAUGUUACGGAAAGCUAUUUACAAGGAAAAAAAGAUUUGGUAAUCAAAUGCAUUGGGAAAAUUUCAAGUUAAAUUCACACAUGCGUACCUUUGAAAUUUCAAAUGCAUGCUGCUAUAUGAAAAGUUUGCCAUUGUUAAACACUCACUGGACUUCGUUUAACUUUUUAUUUUUAAAAUUUUAAUCCACUAGGAAGAAAAUGGGCUGACUAUGGUGGCACAAGCUUUUCAAUCCAGGCAAAGAACUCUGUGAGUUCGAGGCCAGCCUAGUCUAUACAAUGGGUCUGGGACAGCUGGAGUGGCAAAGUGAGACCCAGUCUCAGACAAACAGAAAAAUAAGAAAUCUAGGGCUUUCCUUUUUCUUUGCAAAAUGUCUAUCAUGGUGAAGAGCAACUUUGGAAGUUUUACAAAACAAACUUUGGAAGUUGGUCAUUUACUUUUGUAUCACUGUGGUCAAAAUACCUGAGAACUAAAAUGGAAUCAUGGGUUAUGUUGCUAUCAUGUUUCAGAGGCUUCUGUCCAUCACAGUAAAGGAGGCGUGGCAAAGCACAUCAGCACACACCAGAGCUGCCAGGAAACAGAGAAAGGGGACAAAAGAAAGGUUCAGAGCAGGAUAGUACAAGCCUUCCCCAUCCCCUCCUUUCUCCAACUAUCUCUACCUGAAGCCCCUAGGGAAGGGCUGCCCCUGAUCAUCUCUAGUGUCAAUCUGAUGGUAGCAUGGCUUGAAAGUCCUUAAUAGUCUUGCCAAUAGGCACAUCACUUCCAUCUUGCCCUCUAUCAUUGUCUAUCCUCAUGAUGUCCCCGUAUUCCUGUGUCCCUUCCUCUUCUCAUAAAGAUACUAGCUGUAUUCUGUAAGAGCUCACCCUAGUCCAACAUGAUCCCAUCCUAACUUGUUUUCAUCUAUUUCCAAAGAGGGUCAUAGUCAGAGAUUCUAGAUCUGGGGAAACUCUCUAACCUCCCAUGGUGUCCAAGCUCAGUCUGCCUGAGGGUAGCAGGCUCUAAAAAUAAAGUGACCUGACCCAGUAGCAGCAGAGCCAGGACCAGAGUUAGAGUUUAUUCCCCUCUCCCAUAUCUCUCCUCAUUGGUAAAUAUCAACAUACUCCAAAGAGUACACAUUGGAUUCUAAGUUCCGGAUAAAGGGAAGGCAUGGCUUUGUUUCAGUAGCUUCCAGUGCUAAGCUAAGUUUACAGUGAUGUGUUGGCCUCUCGAAGCAUGGUUCCUAAGUUAAAGACAACAGUUUCACUGGGAGAGCUCACCGUAAGGUGAAGAAUUGUGAUUCCUAGUGCUCAAAAGCAUGCUCACUGUCUUCAUGCUUCCCACAAGUCCGGGUCUAUCUAUAUCCAGAGACAAUAUUAUUCCUCCAGCACCAAGCUGCCAUUGAUAAGAAAUCCUGGAGAAAGUGAUCCUUUGACAAUCUCAUCAUCAAAUGCCUUUGACUCAGUAGGAUUUUGAAAAUGUUUCUUUAGAACAGGAAUAGAAUGAACACAGAAGACAAUUGUUUAUCAAAUCCCAGUCUUUAAUACAUCUAUAUAGUCUGAGACAAGGACUGGGAAACCAAGCCCACUCUAACAGCUAUGGUUUCUAGCCAGAGAGAAUUGGUUGAUGGGCUCCAGCAGCCCCUGAAGGUCUAUAUGCAGAUGUCAAACAAAUGUCUCUGGCCUGACGCAGCUCUGAGACUAAAAGAGGCAGCUCAGACCACAUCUGGGAUUUCAUGGCAGUGGCUCAGUGCCAAUUCUAUGCUGGAAACACCUUCAUUCCAUGCUGGGGACCCAAUGGCAUCAAUUCAAGCCAGAGAGAUACUUGGUGGGGUCAAGAGGUAUCUUGACUCACUGGGAGGGAGAGCAGAAGGUGUACUUCAAUUCUCACUAAGCACUGGGAUACUUGGAGAUACCUUCAGGAAUUGGAAAAGGGACUGGACCCUCCUGAGCCUCUGCUACCCCCUUCAUAGUGACAGUUGUCACUUGCAAGAAGGCACAUAGAGAGCAUUCAGAAUCUGGAGUGAAUCCCCUUGGGAGUCUCACCCUGGUUCUGUUUCCGGUUUAGGCAAGUCUGAAAACACAACCAACCAUGAGAUGCUUUGCUCAUUCAAAGAUUAGAUGUAUCCUAUUGUCUGUAAGGACCUCAAGAAAGCAGCAAAGAGCCCAAACUUCAACUUCAAAUUCUGUGGGCCCCAUAAUGGUUCUGUUAUACCCAAGUUGCUGGUAACCCCCAAAGACCACUGAGGAACCAAUUUCGAUGUAAAUACAUAAGGAUCUAGAGCAAGGUCUCUCAUUAUCCCAAAUGCAGUGGGUCAAAGUAAGAGCCCUGAGUCUAAUAGUUCAGGGUUUUUAUUGUGGUUACAGCAAACUUGGGGAAUUUCCAUAUGGGUCAGCAAGUUAAUAUGUUAAAAAAAAAACUUCAGUUCUGGCGUUAUCGGCAGAAACUGGACACAAGGGCAAACCACCUGACAAA
rnacentral:lncRNA from 1 species